CUUUGUACGGAACGAAACGGUUCUCUCUAAGUACAGGGGGCUAAUGACGGUACCGUAAGAAUAAGCACCGGCUAACUACGUGCCAGCAGCCGCGGUAAUACGUAGGGUGCAAGCGUUAAUCGGAAUUACUGGGCGUAAAGCGUGCGCAGGCGGUUUUGUAAGACAGAGGUGAAAAUCCCCGGGCUCAACCUGGGAACUGCCUUUGUGACUGCAAGGCUGGAGUACGGCAGAGGGGGAUGGAAUUCCGCGUGUAGCAGUGAAAUGCGUAGAUAUGCGGAGGAACACCGAUGGCGAAGGCAAUCCCCUGGGCCUGUACUGACGCUCAUGCACGAAAGCGUGGGGAGCAAACAGGAUUAGAUACCCUGGUAGUCCACGCCCUAAACGAUGUCAACUGGUUGUUGGGUCUUCACUGACUCAGUAACGAAGCUAACGCG
rnacentral:rRNA from 1 species